CUCAGACUAAAUCACACGGGUGAAACUUGC
rnacentral:piRNA from 1 species